UGCCCCCUAAAUUAUGACUCGUUUUGCGCUUUGCCCCCCAAACAAUUUUUUUUUGCACGUUCUUACCUAAACUCGAUUUUUUGUUGCACGGUGCCCUAAAAGUGGUAUUUUCCGGCAAAUGUCACCGGAAUCUCACGCACGUGCCAUUCACGUGAGAUUUGGAGGGGUAAAUUUGUCUUUUUACUUUUAUUAUUGUCUGACUUUAAUUUUUUCUUCUCUUUUUCAUUUUGGUCAUCUUCCCCAACCGUCUUCUUCCCCACCUCACUCUGGUUCAAAUCCAUCUCCAAAGCCCUUUGUGCACCAAUUUCUAGACAAAACAAAUUUCAACAAUCAAAACUAAUCAUAAAUCAUCUCGACAUUUUCCCUAAACACAGGGCUAACGAGUGGAUUUUCGGACGACGAAAAUGGGUCGAAAAAAUCAUCGAAUAAACCCACCAUAGCCUCUUCCAUCCCUAUUCGUAUCUCCCCUUCUACCACCACUUCCACGGCGGCGUAGGGAAGAGUAACCAUGAACAUCCAAAGCAGCAAUAAGCUUUGCCGUCUCAUCCAAUUACAUCGAACACUGAGCAAGAACUCGACGACGCCGAUUUCACCUUCGAUUUCAAUCGCCAAUUGGAGAGAAGCUCGUUGCCCGCCGACAAACUUUUUAACAACUACAAAAUCAAGCCAUUAAAGACACACCCAAUGUUUCACUACAAUCAAAACAAGCCCAAAAAAAUUAUCGAAAUCCCCAAUUUUCAUCGGAGAAGCAUUCUCCCCCGAAACAAUUGGGCCAAAUAUUUCGACCUAUUUCUCACAGCCAUGGAUUAUACAUGUAAAGGAAAACGUCAAGAAAACAGGUGGUGACGGAAAGAGAGAAUGGCAGGAGUGGAGGCGGUGGCAGGGGAAGAAAGAUUUUCUGGCUGGGAUGGGUUUGGGAGGAGUGCUGGGCCGACGGGAUGAAGAUAUGAUACUUUCUUUUUUGUUUUAUUUUUGUUUUUUGUGUUUUUUUGUUUUUUAAUGAUUAAUUCAUAAUUAAUAUAUAGAAUAUAAGUGAAGUGACGAAUUUAUCCCUGCAAAUAUCACGUGCAACGCACGUGUUUUAACAUUCCGAUCAAAAUUGCCGGAAACUUUAGUUUAGGGGGCACCGUACAACGAAUUAACGAGUUUAGGUAAAAAUGUGCAAAAAAAUUUUGUUUGGGG
rnacentral:lncRNA from 1 species